AACUGGUAUUACUGAUAAAUCAUAAUUAUAAAUUCAUAAUAAAGAUUAUAAACAUAAAUGUAAUUUAUACUUAAAGCACGAGAAGUAUAACUUAACUUACAAAUUAUUGGACAAAAAAUCGGACAUUACGCGAGCAAAACUUCGAUACCGAAAAAUCUAUUUCUCGGGGCUCUGUGGCGCUCCAGAGAUUUGCUACUAACGACUUAGUUUUUCCUCUAAAAUGACAGGGUUUUCUAGCGAAAACUUAGAACUUCGUGGUCAGAACUGUGUCACUGAAUCUUUCUUUUAAAAAGAUUAUUGCAGCGCUUCAACGCUCAACUUACUAUACUAAAACUAUAGAAAUAGAAGGCGAAUCACGAGGGAACGAAAUGCUCGGGGGUGAGAAGAGAAAAGCUUUUGAAAGAGACUUGGUGCAAGAAAUAUGAGAGUCUACACCCUCAUAUUUAUAGUAGUUGAUUUUUUUCAAAAAGCACCAUUUAUAGUUACUUAAACGACCAAACGACCAUUUAUAAUAUUAUUUUAAAUAGAUUUAACGAUAUUUGUACUAAAUUAAUGUCAAAAGUAUUCAAUAUUAGUCUUAUAUCGACCGCAUNAUAGAGAGAGAGAGAGAGAGAGAGAGAGAGAGAGAAAAAAAACAAAGAGGUUCAAGUAUUCUAACUAAGUAUUGUGUGGAUGAAUGAACCAAUAAGAAUUCAAGAAAAAAUAAAUCAUUUAUUAAAUUAAUAAGGAUAAUUUGGUAAUUUCAUUUAAAAGAAAUAUAACUUCCACAAAUACUCUCCUAAAAUUACGGAAAUUGAUCUAAUUUAGUUUUUUCCCUCUUUAAAACAAUCAACAAAUCCCAUCAGCUCCACACAACCACUCAAGACCACAGAAAACUUUAUGCCGCCUUGCCUCCAUCCUGCUCCUAUCCCUCUCCGAAUAUCUGUUAUCUUCCGCCACCACUCCUCCAGCAUCACAAAACCCUUGAUGACUCUGACCCUAAAAGCGAGUUAUACUUCCAGCUUCCAUCCGACUUCCCCUGUUCUCGUUAUUCACGAUGUCGAUCUCAUCGCUCUUUUCUCUUGCUAGCGUCAUAACAUCCUCACUGUUGUAGCAAGGUAGCGACAUACCUCAUCAUUUACUCCUUAGCACUUAGCAACACCGAAGAUGGUAAGUUCUGAUUUUUGAUCAAUUAUUUUUGGGUAAUGUGGGAGUUCGAAUUUCAUUGUGUGCAAUUUUGUCUUCUGGCCCAUCUCUUGCCCGGUAGCAUGAAUUUUUCUUAAACUAUUGUAUUUUUAGUUCUCAAAUAUCUAUCAAUUUGCCAGCGCUUUAGUUUCCAAAUGUUUAUUGGAAAUAUAUUCUCAUCAAGUGGGAAGCAUCACAUGGAACGUCAUCUUGUUGAUAUAUUUAGCAGGUCCUUGUUUUAUUUUGUUACAAUAUGUUUUAUCUCAAGCAAUGUGAUAGCGAGAUGAUGAAGAAGAGGUCGUUAGUUGUUUGUAUCCUAAUGACAUAUAUACAAUGAUAAUAAAAACUUGCUUGUAUUAAUUUACUAGUAUAUAUCACCCUUGAUUUAAUAGUUUUGAUUAAUUCUUUAUGGUAUGAUGGAUACUAGUUGUAGAAGAUGAUAACUUUUGUGAUUUAUUUCUUUUUGCACAAAAUAUGUACCACAAUUGAUAAAUUUUGUGAUUUAUUUCUCACUUUAUGGAGUUUGGAUUUUGAUUUAACGAAGUCUUCAUUUUGAUUUUAUGUGACAUCCCCAAUUUCACGGUCAGAAAAGACCGAUUUAUUUAUGCUUAUUUUGAAAUCAAAGUUUCCUUAAAAGAAUAAUAUUGCGGAAUAUGUUCCCAAAAACAUGAUAAUGAUAUUAUUAAAACAUUUUCCAAUAAACGUAUUUAUAUUAAAACCUUGAGAUGUCAAUAUGUCAUUGUCGAUACAGUACAUAAGCAUAAAUGAAACAAUACAUACCUUACACUACUUAGGGGCUGUUUGAUUUGGUGCUGACAGGGUCCGAUCAAAUGUUUUGGUCUGACUCGGUCCGGUCAGGGUGUUUGAUAUGCUUCUGACCUAGGCCACACGUUUGACUCAGCCCAUAAAAACAACUAUCUCGAUCCUUUAAAAAAACAUGGUUGAUUGAAAACUUACCCACAUUUGGCCUUCUCUAUCUAGCCCUACACAUGAUUUCUUACUUACCCCCGUUACGAUUUCUUCUAGAUCCUCCUCGUACCUCCGGCCUCAACCUUUUCCUCCUUUCCAGCUCCACCUCGCCGGCAACCUCCUCCGACUUCGUCCUCUCUAAUGCUAGACCUCUAUCGCAGCUUCACUUUCGCCACUGCUUUAGCGACGUCGACUUCCUCCAGUAUUCCAUAGCAGCUUCACGUCGUCACUACACCAUCGUCUUCAUUAGGUAAGGUCAAUUUUCUUCAAGCUUUUUUUCCUUAUCUAAAUCGAUUUCUUGUAAUUUUUUGGUCGUCAGAGUUGAUUUUUGGUUGUUGAUUGGUUUCAUGUGUGUGAUUUCUCCAUCUAAUUGAUUUUAAGCAUCUAGUCGAUAGAGUGAAUACGAUAAUUCUCAGUGAAUAUGUUUGAUACCCUUUCCUUGAAUUUUAGGUUUUCUGUUUUGAGCCUCUUUGUUUAUUGUACAAUGUAAGCUAUAAAUUUAUGACUUUUGGAAUUGUAGAUCUAUUUGACUUUAAUUUUGGUUUUAAAUGUUUAAUGGUUUCUGAAUGAAUCUUUUUUACUUUAUGCAGCUUAUUGAUUAAUUUCAAUGAAGGAUAACAGCUCAGGAGACUGGGAUAAUGAAAUUUGAUGACUGGUACAAGGAAAUAGUUCAAGAAUACAUCAAUUUAAUGAAAACAAAAUCACUAUUUAUGCAUCAUGUUCCCUAGAUUAGUGGUAAUGUUGUCAUUGAUUAUUUUUUGAAGGUUUUGGUAAUGAGAUAGUUGAUAACUUUUUUCUUCAAUUCUUUAUAAAUUUACAUUAUUUUUUCAAUUUUUUGGAUCAAAUUGAGAAAAUUUAU
rnacentral:lncRNA from 1 species